GUGGACUUCCAGACCAUUGUCUUCAUUUGCCCUUGCGUGUACAUGACUGCAAAGAGCAAAUGGGGGGAAUAGCCUGUGAGUUCCGC
rnacentral:pre_miRNA from 1 species